GACGGGGUCAGGCACCUACGCCGCAGGGGGGAGGGUUCAGAGCGAUGUGUCGCUGCUGGUGCCGGCGGUGGCGUCCUGGAUGACGUUGCAUCGGAGUGGCCCGCGACAGCGAGGCAGAUCUGUAUCCAUCCACAUGAUGGGUAGAGCGUCAUCGUGACCCGAGCGUCUCCCACCCGGCCCGGCCCUCACACCGCCCACUGGUGUGGGUGGGGUGCCCGAGCGCCACCGCGAGGGGGAUGCGCCCGGUGGCGGCCGGCAUGGUGGGCGCGGCUGCGCGGCGCCCCGCGAAGCGUGGGCUGUGGGCGUGGGUGGGGGCCGUGCUCUCCGAUGGCUGGGCCAGCGCGUUGCUGUGGCGCGUGUGUGUCUACGGCUGCCAUCGGCCCACGCGAG
rnacentral:misc_RNA from 1 species